rnacentral:rRNA from 1 species
CCUACGGGAGGCAGCAGUGAGGAAUAUUGGUCAAUGGGCGGAAGCCUGAACCAGCCAAGUCGCGUGAGGGAUUAAGGCCCUGCGGGUCGUAAACCUCUUUUGCCGGGGAGCAGAGUUCCGUACGUGUCCGGUCCUGGAGAGUACCCGGAGAAAAAGCAUCGGCUAACUCGGUGCCAGCAGCCGCGGUAAUCCGGAGGAUUCGAGCUUUAUCCGGAUUUAUUGGGUUUAAAGGGUGCGUAGGCGGGCAUUUAAGCCGGCGGUCAAAUGUCGGGGCUCAACCCCGGCCUGCCGUCGGAACUGGGUGCCUUGAGUGGGCGAGAAGUAGGCGGAAUGCGUGGUGUAGCGGUGAAAUGCAUAGAUAUCACGCAGAACCCCGAUUGCGAAGGCAGCAUACCGGAGCGCUACUGACGCUGAGGCACGAAAGUGCGGGUAUCGAACAGGAUUAGAUACCCGAGUAGUC